rnacentral:rRNA from 1 species
UACGUAGGUGGCAAGCGUUGUCCGGAUUUAUUGGGUUUAAAGGGUGCGUAGGCGGGCUAUUAAGUCAGUGGUGAAAGCCCCAAGCUUAACUUGGGAACUGCCAUUGAUACUGAUGGUCUUGAGUACAUUUGAGGUGGGCGGAAUGUGUCAUGUAGCGGUGAAAUGCUUAGAUAUGACACAGAACACCGAUUGCGAAGGCAGCUCACUAAACUGUAACUGACGCUGAGGCACGAAAGCGUGGGGAGCAAACAGG